AGGGGGCUCGAGCGUUAGUCGGAAUCACUGGGCUUAAAGGGUGCGUAGGCGGCUCGCCAAGUGCUUUGUGAAAUCCCACAGCUCAACUGUGGAACAGCAGGGCAAACUGGCGAGCUUGAGGCAGGUAGGGGCCGGAAGAACAGUUGGUGGAGCGGUGAAAUGCGUAGAUAUCAACUGGAAUGCCGAUGGGGAAGCCGUCCGGCUGGGCCUGUCCUGACGCUGAGGCACGAAAGCGUGGGGAGCAAACAGGAUUAGAUACCCUGGUAGUCCACGCCGUAAACGAUGUGCACUAGACUGGUGCGGUUUUGACGCCGUAUCAGUCGCAGUAAAAACGAUAAGUGCACCGCCUGGGGAGUACGGUCGCAAGGCUA
rnacentral:rRNA from 1 species